ensembl:processed_transcript F830208F22Rik RIKEN cDNA F830208F22 gene
ACAAUGUUCUCAUCCCUCCCUGUCACUGUCACCAGCAUCAACUCAGUGAAAAGACUCCUACUCCCUGAGAGCAUGGCUACUUAAAGGGAUCCACAAUCCGCGUGCCAUAGCUGGUGCUAAGGACCCAGCUGGUGGGAAAAUCGUGUCUGCCCUUCAGGACCUCCUGGUCCAGCUGAAGCAGGAAGGAGACUCCAGCAAACAGCCACAGGAUGGCCCAACACGCCCCACGCCCACUGCAGGCACUGGGAAAGAGCAAUUGGGACGUUCACUGGGGUGUGCUCGCUCCAUGCCACCCUCUUGGAGACACUUGGGUGAGCCUUGAGUUCAUGCAGAGCUCUGGGCCACGAUUCGUCAGCUCCAGGGCUUUGAGAAUGUUGCUUCACUCCCUGCCAGUUUCCCCAUCGGUAAAAUAUCAUGGUGAGUCAGUUCCCUCCGAGGGCGACUGGGAGGCAUGGUGGAGUAAUGUGGGGAAGGCAGUUAAAGAACCUAAUAAUCUGCACAAUAAACAAUGUGGUCCUUCUCGUUAUUUGAAUCGAACAACUGCUGGAACUGUGGAGCUGGACAGGGCGCUUGCAGUUUCCGGAAUCUCAGGUAACUUUUGAAAAGUAGAGCAAAAACUCAACACCAGCAGCAGUGGCUGCGGUCCGGUGCUCCUAAGACCUUUACCACAGGACUCUCAACUCAACUCCACUCUCUCUGCCCCUUCUCUUGACCACUCCUGCCAGAGAGUAGGUGGGACAGCUGGGGCUACCAAUGGCUCAGCUUCGCCAGCGCUGGGAUUUCAGGUGUGAGUAACCAACACUUCUGGCUCUGGGGUUUUUAAGGAGAGUUGGAGGGAAGGAAAGAAAGCCUAGCCCCUAUUGCUGAGUGCUGAGACUGAUGGAGACGGGUCCUGGGCUCUUAACUAAACUCAGGCUAAGAUGUCCAGAGCCGAAGGGCACAUCAGUCUUUUCCUUGACACUUUUGAUUGAGCCUGUUCCAGAACGGGCACACCCCGGAUGGUGCGCACAUACUAUCUAUCAUCUUAAGUCUCUGUACCUCCAUCGUUAGCCCAAAAAAAUAAUCACUCUACUAUGAACUGCAUAAAGGUCUGUCCUUUUUUUUCCCCCACAGUGUAAAAAGUGUGAAGAUUUCCCAGGUCUCCGAGGAGGACCAAGUGUAAGGUUACUAACCCUGCUGUAAUGCUACCCCGGCCCUUCGCCUUAUGGGCUUCGGGGCACCCGCGGGCUGGAAUGCGCCUCCUUUUGGGCUUCGGUUUUCAAGCCUGAGAACGCCGGGUGACGUCAGGGCCCAGGUGUUCCCGGGAGCGCGCGCUCCGGGCGCAGCGCGAUCCGGGGAGCGGACUCUCGGGACAGAGAGGGGCAGCCCCAGGGCUCGCUCCGGCGUGCGCUCCGGGACGCCCCGCGCCGCGCUGACUUACCCAGAAGUUCCCCUUGAACAGCGAGCCCGUCAUGCCGGCGCUGGGUUGGGAGCGCAGGGCUGGAAGCGGAGGACGGAAGGCGGCUGAGGACGGCGGACAGCGGGAGGACAGCGGGAGGACGGCCGGAUCGCGCCGAGAGCUCAGACUGUCAGGGCCAAGGUCCAGCGCAACUUUGGAGUUCCACUGUCACCCCGGGAAGCCGCCCCGGGUCCUAAACCACGCCCGAUUGCGCCGCCCCGCGCCCCGCCUGCCUGCCCGCCCGCUUGCCCGCUUCGCGCACCUGCAGAGGGCCACCCGCCCUGACCCUAGGGCGCGGCCGGUCCAGCAGCUCUGCGGAGGGCGGUGGCCAGUCCAAACCACAGCCUGCCGGACGUCUGAACGACUGAGAGAACCGGUCCUUCUCCCUUCGGCUGCCCACUGGACUCUUCCCAUCAAGCCCUCCCGACCUAGAAAUUCAGACUGUGAAUCAGUAGAAACCCUAGGAGAUGCCUUCACCUAUGCUGCUAUCGCUACAAGGAAUGGAGUGCACACACCGCCCCGGAGAGGAUUGCAGGCUUUAGUCUAAAAUGCCAAUUCAAAUGCGUUAUCCAUGUUUCCUUUUAACUUUGCAUAUCUUAAUCUGAACUCAGUUAAGGUUUCUUCACCACCUGUCUCACCUAGCAGUAGAAGCCAGGCUGCUUUCUGCUCCCUCUCUUGUGAGCUUCAACUCUUUUCAGAGAGAAAACCGGACAUUCACACCUGUAAUCCCAGUACUGAGGAAGCUGAGACAGAAGACUGAGUUUAAGCCCAGCCUGGGCUACAGUGUGAGGUCUUUCCUAAUAAGCAGACAAACCAAAUAGGACUCCAGGGCGCAUCAAACUCCUUCUUGUUUGGAAAUAGACAAAGUACUUGUUCUAUGUGCCCAGUGUCCAGCCGGAAACUCAAGAUAGCUGAAAGAUUGCUCAGAUUCACAGUUAUGUAGGGGAUGGAGAGACCAAAGCUAGAAGUCUGUCCUUCCUAACAGGGCCAGUGUCUUUCUGGGUAAGAAGUGUUCAUAGGGAAGAAAAUGAAAGUUAAGUUGCCAAGACUGGCAUCGAGCUAGUUCUCCGUUAUGCCAAAGCAAGCAUUCACCUGUGCAGCAGAUUCUAGUUAGAUCCCGGCACAGCACGUGACAAUCGUGGAAUGAGUAGAAGAGCUCACAAGAUUUCUGCUCAGUAACUCUACUCCCGAGCCCUACCAGUAGGGUCAUCUGUAACGACAGGGAUUCGCGAGAGCACCCAGCCCUGUUACUCUCCAAGGACAUGCAUUCACCAACCCGGUUCUUCACUGAGGUUAGGGCCACUGGCUGAUUUUCCAGAGGACUUGGGUUCAAUUCCCAGCAUGGCAGCUAACAGCAAUCCCUAACUCCAGAGCCAAGGAAUCUGACACCCACUUAGUAUGUUUUUCCUAACAAGGCCAUGCAGGUGGUGCACAGACAUACAAGCCUGCANNNNNNNNNNNNNNNNNNNNNNNNNNNNNNN